GUUCAGACGGAGGAUAGCACUGGCGAGGCUGGGAGUGACAACACUACAUGGAGGAAGAAAUGGCGGUGGCCACGGGGAGGGAAGGCCACGGACCAGGGGGAAGGCCAGCAUGUGAUGGGAGAGCGAGACAGUGAUCGGUCGCAUCUCCACGACAACGUCGGAGCGGCGGACGGCGACCGGCGCCGGCGGGUCCUCCGCGAUCCGGCGGCGGCGGCUGAGCCAGCAGCAGACGGCGGUGGUGACCACGAGGACGACGACCGCCGCGCCCGCCACGAUCCCCAACGCAACGGCGACGCGACGGAGGCGGCUCUGCGACGGCGGCGCGCUUGACAGCGGCGGCGGCGGUGCGGUUGGCGGCGGCGGCGGUGGAGGGAUCGCGUGGCGAACCUCGCGGGACUGACCGUCUUCGUCGGACGUCGGCGCCGGCGGCGGGGGUGGAGGUACCGCCUGGUGGACGUCGACCGCGGCCGCGGGGGUUGUCGGCGGCGCCGGAACGGUGCGGGCGGCGGUCGCCGCGCCGGCUGCGGCGGACGCCAGGAGGAAGAGGAGCACGAGCUUGUAGUUGUAGAGGCUCAUUCUCGCCAUGUGUGCAGGGGCGCCCGGCCCGGCACCCUCUUCUUAUAGAGAGGGUUCGCCGGCGUACGUAGCUUGAUGGCUUCAACUGUAGCCCUUGCUGGAUGGCUGUAAAAUGCACUCGCACUCAUGUAUAGUUUUGUUCAAAAAUUUGACAUCAUUUUCACCAAUUCUUUUGACAUGAUGUCUCUAUAUUUCAGUACCA